GUUGCGGUAGUCACGCAUGGGUCUUGCAUUGUCUCUUUGUUUUUAAUUCUAAUAUUCAAUGUUGUAUUACUUGUAUUGCAAGCGCUGUCCACUAUCAUAAUAAACAUGCCACGAAUGUAUUGCGUAGUAUACGGCUGCUUGAACUCGUCAAAUUCAAAACCAGAACUUUCAUUUUUUAAACUUCCAGCUGAUGCUGAAAGACGUUCCAAAUGGCUAUCUUUAAUAGCUAGAGAAGAUUUGAUGAACAAGCCGCCACAAAAUUAUACAGUGUGUGAAGACCAUUUUGAUGCUGCAGAUAUUUUAAAAGGAACGCAUCGGAAAAAACUAAAAUCUUGUUCAUUGCCAUCUAACCAACUACCAAAUAUACAAAAAAAAGAUGUAAAAAUGACAAGCGAAACUCCGACGUUGGUCGAAAUAUGUACACAGACAGAAAAUGUGACUGUGACACAUUUAGCGAAUGCCAGUAUUCAAACUUCCAGAUCUCUUUUAUCGGACUCACCCCGGAAGAGAAAACUAAAAUGCGAUCUUUUAGAAGCAAGAAAAAAAAAUAAGUUACAUAAAAUUGACAAUAAAAUGGGACUAUGUCAAAGUAAUGUUUUACAUAAAUUGUGUGACAGUUUUCUAACAAAACAGUUAGCAGAGUUGGUAAAAGCCCAGACUCUUAUACAACUUCAUUUUCCUGGAAAUAGAUAUCACCAAAGUUACAAAAUGUUUUGUUUGAAUUUAUAUUACACCAGUCCGCAAGCUUAUAGGUUAUUACAAUGUGCGAUAUGUCUUCCAAAUCCCAGAGAAUUAAGUAAACACGGAAUACCAAUAACAUCUGAAAUAAAUGAGAGAGUUAUGUCAAUUCUAAAAACUAAAAUUGAUGCCAUGACUGAUAUGGAAAAGAACUGCUCAGUUGUUAUUAAAGCCAUGACUUUAAAAUCUAAUUUGUUUUAUAACUUAAGGCAAGAUAAUAUUAUUGGCUUUCAUGAGAUCGAUGGAAUACAGUCACCAGAACCUGCAAAAAAUGCUUUGGUUGUAAUGGUUCGUGGAAUAUUUAUCAACUGGAAGCAACCUAUUGGAUUUGCACUGCUCUCCGAAUGUAAAAAUUCCGACGAAAUAGCUAAAUGGAUUGACAAACUUUUGAAAAAGCUUUUUGAGAUAGGACUUUAUAUUAGAACUUUUGUCUCCGACAUGGGAUCUGAUCUAUUCAACGCAGCAAAAAAGAGAUCUGUUACUCUAGAACGGCCUUAUUUUUUUGUCAAUGACAAAAAAAUUUACUAUAUUUUUGAUGCACCCCAUCUCAUAAAACUGGUUCACAAAAAUUUGAUUUCUUACGACUUUCAUUUCCAUGAUCGUGUAGCUAAAUAUGAGCACAUCGUUAAAUUUUACGAUAAUGAUAAACAAAAGAGCAUUAAACUUGCAAACAAAUUAACGAACAGCCACAUUCAUCCGACAACUUUUGAAAGAACGAAAGUUCGCUAUACUACACAACUCUUAAGUAAUUCUGUUGCCGCUGGUAUAUCAACUUACGUAGACUUUAACAUCAUUCAAGAAUCCGGAAGGGACACUGCUGAACUUGUAAAACUUAUGAACAAUUUAUUCGAUGCAUUAAACUCAUCAAAUCUAAAGGAUAAUAACGAAUACAGUAGAGCGUUUUGUGGAAAAGAAUCGCAAAUAUAUUUUUUUAAUGAAUUGUUAAUUUUUUUUCAAAAUCUGAAAUUAAUCAAUCCGAAAACUGGAAAAGAUGUUACGUCAAAUGUUAAGUUUAUACAUGGUUUCCAAAUAACAAUUACCUCAAUUUUGCUACUUUUUGAAGACUUAAAAUCUGAAGGAUGCACAUUUUUACUUACAAGAAGGCUCAACCAGGAUGUGCUUGAACAUUUUUUUGGAGAAAUAAGAACUAAAAAUGGUCAGGCUACAGAACCCACAAGCAGGCAGUUUAUAUCAGCUUUUCAAGAAAUUUUUUUUUCCAGCGUCAUUAAACCUCCAAAAGCAGGUAAUUGUGAAGAUGAUUUGGGAAAACUUCUUGUGAAGAUCAGCACGUUAAGUCAACGAAAUGACGAAACAUUAGGAAAAGAGGAAAAAGAAAACCCCGUUACAAGCGAUAAUGAACCAUAUAGUAACGUUAAAAUUAUAUGUUCUGAAUAUAAUGAACUGGAUAUUCCCGAAAAAAAUUCGCUUUUUUAUGUUUGUGGGUAUCUUCUAAAAAAAUGCGCCGAACGCCAUAACGAUUGUCAAGUUACGAAAUCAUAUUAUAUCAAACAAAAUCAAGAUAUCCACAACUUUAGUGCAGAGAGUCACUACAUGAGAUACAAAGAAUACAGCAAAAAUACUAACCGAAGUUUACUAAUUGUACCACCUGAUGAUUUUGUUCAAUAUGUCGAGAAAAUGGAUGAAUGUUUUUGCUGUUGUUUUCAAAGAGAACACAUACAUUGUAAAGUUGCUAAAUUAAUUUACAAAGAAAUAGACAAAAUCAGUUUUAUAGCACCGUGUCCGUGUUUUCCUAUAAUUUAUUUAAAAAAGUUAUUCAUUAGAAUGCGAAUUUUUCACACCAUAAAAUUUAAUAAUAAAGCUUUUAGAACGUCUCGUAGCAGGCGAAAGUAUUUUUCAGUGUGUAAUCUACAAUAACCACAGUAUUUACAGCAGCAGCUUACCGCACCACAGUAUUUUUCGCAGCUUACCGCUUUUUUUUUUAUA